UAUGCCCUACGGGAGGCAGCAGUGGGGAAUUUUGCGCAAUGGGCGAAAGCCUGACGCAGCAACGCCGCGUGCGGGAUGACGGCCUUCGGGUUGUAAACCGCUUUCAGUGGGAAAGAUUAUGACGGUACCCACACAAGAAGCUCCGGCUAAAUACGUGCCAGCAGCCGCGGCAAUACGUAUGGAGCAAGCGUUAUCCGGAUUUAUUGGGCGUAAAGCGCGCGUAGGCGGCUUGUUAAGCAAGGUCUUAAAUCUUGGGGCUCAACCUCAAGCCGGAUCUUGAACUGGCAGGCUCGAGUAUGGUAGAG
rnacentral:rRNA from 1 species